rnacentral:rRNA from 1 species
UUGUGCCUACGGGAGGCAGCAGUGGGGAAUAUUGCACAAUGGGGGAAACCCUGAUGCAGCGACGCCGCGUGAGCGAAGAAGUAUUUCGGUAUGUAAAGCUCUAUCAGCAGGGAAGAAAAUGACGGUACCUGACUAAGAAGCCCCGGCUAAAUACGUGCCAGCAGCCGCGGUAAUACGUAUGGGGCAAGCGUUAUCCGGAUUUACUGGGUGUAAAGGGAGCGCAGGCGGCUUGGCAAGUCUGAUGUGAAAGGCUGGGGCUCAACCACAGGACUGCUCUUGGAACUGCACGGCUGGAGUACAGGAGG